rnacentral:rRNA from 1 species
GCAAGCGUUGUUCGGAUUUACUGGGCGUAAAGGGCGCGUAGGCGACCUGGUAAGUAGGGGGUGAAAUCCUGCGGCUUAACCGCAGGGCUGCCUUCUAAACUGUCAGGCUUGAGCACGGUAGAGGCAGAUGGAAUUCCCGGUGUAGCGGUGGAAUGCGUAGAGAUCGGGAAGAACAUCAGUGGCGAAGGCGGUCUGCUGGGCCGUUGCUGACGCUGAGGCGCGACAGCGUGGGGAGCAAACAGG